rnacentral:pre_miRNA from 1 species
CUUACCCUGUAAUUCGAAGAAGUUCAGAAAAGAAAUCUAUUUCUCGUUUCACAGGGUAUUUU